CCUANGGGUGGCUGCAGUGGGGAAUUUUGGACAAUGGGGGCAACCCUGAUCCAGCCAUGCCGCGUGAGUGAAGAAGGCCUUCGGGUUGUAAAGCUCUUUCGGACGGGACGAAACGGUGGCGGUGAAUAUCUGCCACUAAUGACGGUACCGUAAUAAGAAGCACCGGCUAACUACGUGCCAGCAGCCGCGGUAAUACGUAGGGUGCGAGCGUUGUUCGGAAUUAUUGGGCGUAAAGGGCUUGUAGGCGGCCUGCCAAGUCUCACGUGAAAGACCAGGGCUCAACCCUGGGGACGCGAGAGAAACUGGCAAGCUGGAAUCUUUGAGGGGGUACUGGAAUUCCUGGUGUAGGGGUGAAAUCUGUUGAUAUCAGGAAGAACACCGGAGGCGAAGGCGAGUACCUGGCAAAAGAUUGACGCUGAUGAGCGAAAGCGUAGGUAGCAAACAGGAUUAGAUACCCCGNUANUC
rnacentral:rRNA from 1 species